AAAAAAAGAAAUAAUCCAUUUAAAACUAAACUAUUACUUGAUGUUCUUCUGAUCCCUGUUGACACAAUUUCCUAUUUUUAUAUGCAUUGGCCCUAGUGGAUGGGAUGGAACCAUGUUACCCAAUCUCAAACACAGCUGUGCUUAUCAUUAGCCUCUCCAGUGGUCCUUUUCUCUCUCGCUGGUAGUCAGCACACCUGGCAUACACCUGCCACUGACUUUCUUUGUAACAAUUGAUCUGAGCAUGAUGAUUUUAUGCCUCGUAAAGGAAAAGAGCAGUCUUUUUAUUUUAAUAAAAAUAAAGAAAAAAAUUGAGUUGCUCCCAUAAGCAUUCUGCCCCCUAAAUAUAUUAUUCCUCUAUUGUCAAACAUUCUCUACACAAGCACAUUGUUAUGACACGUUGACACAUGUUCAAGAAAAAUUUGUUUCAUGAACUUUUGUUUCCAAGAAGAGCCAGACCAAAGUUUGUGCUUUGGCUAUAAAAUCCAUACAAAAAGUUAUCAUUUAAAGUUACCAUUUAAGUUACCAUUAAAGCUACAUCUAUGUGACUGAUGGAUUUAUAAGUAGCUUUUCUGUUAUGGCUCAAAUGAAUUUUGAGGAUUUUUUUUCUCCAUGUGGAUCUACACACAGACAUGACAGACAUGACAACUUUGAAUAAAUCCCUCCUGUUCCUGAAAGUGACAUUUCCCGGAGGCAUAGCCAUUACUCUCAUCUCGGGCUCUCCCACUUGGCCUUAAUAACCUUACGAAUCCUAAAUCCACACCACAAUUCUCAUCAUUUCUCCAUCAAUCUCCCUAUGGCUUCUUUAAUUCAUCCCUUUUCUCCAGUGGUUUAUAAAUUCACUGAUGACAAUGUUACAAAUAAGACAUGGCAAUCCCUAAAGGGUGGGCAGGUCUGGGGGUCCUAUCCAUUUUCUUCAUGGGUAAAAGCUUUCGGGUAAUUACUUGUUGAAGAAGCUCUUCAAAGUCACAGGGACAAGAAAGAUCUGGGGCCACAGACAGCUUGUUUAUCCACCGGACACGUGGUAAUCAAAGAAAAAUUAAAACAGCAGAGUCUAGAGGACAUAGCCAAUUGCAUACAUUACUUUAUGAAAACAUCAACUAAAACCUUGGUUGAUAUAAAAAGUGUUACUACUAAUUAGGGGGAAAACACAGCAGCUUAUAAUUACAGGCAAAGUUAAAAUAAUUCAUUUAUAUAAAGUAUUGUGACCAAACACCUGAGCUCAAAUAUUCUGUGAAUCCAUGGCUCAAGUAAAAAGGAGUUUAAUGCCUAGAGAUUAUGUAUUUGAGUCAUGAAGGCAAGAAUAAUUUAAGAAGAUAAAAAGCAGAUUAUGUGGCAAUGUUGGGCAUUCAAGUACCUGUUGAGGUUGUUAGGCAGAAUUGUAUUAGUUUGAACAACGGUGGCUUCAUGUUGAUGCAUGGUCAUCCUUUUGGCACUAGGGAAGCUAGCUAGAUUCAUUCAAUACAGUUAUGUGUUGCUAUCACAAAAAAAGGUAAUAGGUAGUGGAUUACUUCUGACAUUUUACCAAAUUUGAUAUUACAUUUUUCCAUUACUGGAAAAAACAAGCACAAAUGCAUUUGAAUACACAGGGUAUCUUGGCACUUUGGUGAUUCGUACAGGAAAUUUUAUAUGACUUUAUCAGCUAAUAAGAAAGAAACUGGUCUUCAAAAAAAUAACAGUUAUAAAACCUCUCUUGUUUGGUGAUAAGGGAUAUAAGAAGAUUCUUAAAUAUGGCAAUUUCAAUUUUCCAAAGCAUGAGCACGAAGUAUGUUCAUUUUAUUCAUGUGUUUUAUACUUUGCACAACACUGCGAUCCAAAUGAGGAGAGGCCAUCCCAGUGGAACAGAAGGGCUGGUCUGUGUGUGUGGGUCUGGGGAGCAAGCGUGAAUAAGAGUGAUGAAGAAGCAAGUGCAGAAGAGUUAAGACUAAAGGAAUAAAACCUCAAAUCUUAGACGCUUCUAUGAUUGAAGUCAUCACAAAAUUUUGAAGACACGAUGAGAAUUAUUUCUUGAACAACACAGAGCAGAGAUGUUGAUGUUCAUCAAUGAUGAAGAGCAUGAACUUGAUUGAGAGAACUGUAAGGGUUCCUUUGAAGACUCUCCUUGCAAUAUCAGAUUAAUGUCCCAAUGUGAAUAAUAUAUUGAUUAUGUAUUACUGAGACACAGAAGAAUAACUGAUCCUCAAUUACUUUAAAUACAUCUUUGGAAGUAGAUACUGAAUUUAAUGAAGAGUCUUUUAAAAACUACUGCACUCUUGUAAAACUGUCCUGGGUAGGUGAGUGUGGGGGUUUUAAAGAGAGAAGAAGCAAUGCUUUACUAAGGAACAGCUAAAUUGCCAUGGAUAGUACAGUGCCCCAAAUGGAAAAAGCUUUUUAAACUUAUAAAACAACAUCUUCUCCUCAUAAGAAACACUAAAAAAGUUAUUUUUAAAGUACAGAAGUGUGCCUAUCACAUUGGUGGUGCUCAGUAAAUACAUUUUUUACUUUUUUAGUUUUUUUUAUAUUUGAGAGGGAGAGAGAGAGAGACAGAGUGCCAACAGCGGACGGGCAGAGAGAUGGAGACAGAAUUUGAAGCAGACUCCAGGCUCUGAGCUAUCAGCACAGAGCUUGACGCGGGGCUCGAAAUCUCAAGCGGUGAGAUCAUGAGCUCAGCUGAAGUAGGACGCUUAACUGACUGAGCCUCUCAGGCGCCCUGGUACUCAGUAAAUAUUUAAUGAAAUACAUUUGCUUUGUGACAAAAAAUAAAAAAGAUUAAUUAUUUGCAUAA